GCCACUUCUUUUCUUCCUCUUCCUUCACCAGGAAUCGGCUAAACCCUACCAUCGGUCAGAGUUUGUAGGGAGAAGACAAGUGGACAUGUAUAUGCAAUGAAGAAGCUUAAAAAAUCAGAGAUGCUUCAUAGAGGCCAGGUUGAGCAUGUUAAAGCUGAAAGGAAUCUCCUUGUAGAGGUUGAGAGCAAUUGCAUUGUCAAACUUUAUUGUUCUUUUCAGGAUGAUGAAUAUUUGUAUCUUAUUAUGGAGUACCUACCGGGUGGGGAUAUGAUGAUUCUACUUAUGAGAAAGGAUACCUUGACUGAAGAUGAAGCCAGAUUUUAUGUAGGAGAAACAAUUCUGGCCAUCGAAUCUAUACAUAAACAUAAUUAUAUACAUAGUAAUUGAAACAGGGCCAUGGCUUCCGAAAGGACCUUUUCCAAAUGGUGGCAGAUUUGAAACCAAAAUUUCUCAGAUUUCUAGGCAUGUCAAAAUUCUAAGUCUUCAAAUUGAGGUUUGCAUGACCCAACUCACUAUUCUAUUAUUGAUAUAUGCUACCUAGCUGCAUGAUUAGGACCUGUUUC